CAUUCGUGGAAGCUCUAAAAUAUUUUGAAACUGCAGAGGAAAUUGAUCCCAAUUUCUAUAGUCAAAAUUUAUUAAUGUUGGGAAAAACCUACUUAAAAUUAAAUCAAAAAGAGCUAGCUACGAAAUAUUUAAAAAUGGCCCUUGAUUAUCCUGCAAAGAACGAAGAUGAUCGAGAUGCUAAACAGGAAGCGCAGAAGUUGUUAAAGAAAUUUUAACAAACUGGACAGAAGUUAUAAUCUAUUAUAUGAUAAAUUGGAAUUGGAGGGAUAGAAGGGAUAAAGAAAAAUUUAGAAUCUAUCUUUUAAGUAGAAGUAUAAAAUUUAUUUACUAUAAUGUACAAUACAACUUAUGUGUGAUGAGCCUGUUAUACACAACAUCUAUUUACAGUUCCCAAGUAAAAUGAUGCAGCACCAAGUUAUGAGCAAUUCUACUUUUUUCCGAGACACGUCCGAAUAAUUAUUGCCAUUGCCGUAUUUUUUAAUAUUUCUCCGUGAAAAUUUUAUACAAUAUUCUUCGAAUGUCAUACUUUAAUGUACUAUUGGUUUUAAUAAAGAGUAUCUACAGCCAA